UUUCAAUGUCAUGAAAAAGUAAAAAGUAAAGUAAAGUCAGUGGUUGGAUAAAGUUUAAUCCAAUGCACCGAGCUGAGAAACUAAUUUCACUGGGUUACAGUAAAUCACAAUUGGGAAGGUGCUCUACUAAUCCAGUAGACUGAUUACUUUUGAACAUUAAGUGAGUUUAUUUUCUUGCAGGAUAUAGGAGGACUCAGUGACACAACAACAGUUACACUAACGAUUGAAGAUUUUGACAACCUAAACCCUUAUUUUGAUCACUGUCUCUACAAGGCAUCCAUUGAGGAAAAUCAGGUAGGACUCUUCUCGGACAUCACUCCCGAGCCCAUAAAAGCUCAAGAUGGUGACACGGGCAUCAACGAGCCUGUAGUUUACAGCAUAACAUCAGGUAUCUGUAGCGGAAGAUUUACAACACACUUACGUCCUAAUCUAAACAAUAAAAUAAUAAUGAAAUGUACUCAUGAUCUGAAUUACCUUUCUGAUAAUAACAAAGCAUAUAUUGAUAUUUUUGUUUCAGUCAUUCCAAAUGAAUAUCAGAACAGCUUUGAUAUCGACCGAAACAGUGGGGUCAUCUCUGUGACGACGGCACUAGACAGAGAGCAAACAGGGCAGAUUGCUGUUUUCAUACAGGUAUGAGAAGUUUCUUAUGAAUCUGAAGAGAUUUCAGUACUGUGUUUGUAUAUAUUUUCUAAACAGCGUUUCCUUGUAAAAACAGGCAGCUCAGCAGGAUGACGCCAGUAAGACUUUUAAUCGUGAUAACUGAUUUCUGGCUGAUUUGUUUCUUCAAGCAAGUUAGCAUUUUGAAAUAAAAUAUCUGGAUUAAGUUGUCUGAGAUUACUU
ensembl:lncRNA